rnacentral:rRNA from 1 species
CCAAUAGCGUAUAUUAAAGUUGUUGCAGUUAAAAAGCUCGUAGUUGAAUUUCGGGAUCAAUGUUUCGGUCAUGCCGUUGGUAUGUACUGAUAUUAUUGAUUUCUCACCUUCUAAAGAACCGUAAUGCCAUUAAUUUGGUGUCACGGGGAAUUAGGACUGUUACCUUGAAAAAAUUAGAGUGUUUAAAGCAGGCUAACGCUUGAAUACAUUAGCAUGGAAUAAUGAAAUAGGACGUUCGAUCUUAUUUUGUUGGUUUCUAAGAUUGACGUAAUGAUUAAUAGGGAUAGUUGGGGGCAUUAGUAUUCAAUUGUCAGAGGUGAAAUUCUUGGAUUUAUUGAAGACUAACUACUGCGAAAGCAUUUGCCAAGGAUGUUUUCAUUAAUCAAGAACGAAAGUUAGGGGAUCGAAGACGAUCAGAUACCGUCGUAGUCUUAACCAUAAACUAUGCCGACUAGGGAUCGGAUGAUGUUAAUUUUUUAAUGACUCAUUCGGCGCCUUACG